GGCAGGGAGCCCUCGCUUGGAGGACUCUUUGAAUAGUGCUCCCUAGCUGGGGCCGGUUUGCGCUGGGCUGCCUUAUGGAGCCUCACCGCCUGCAGAGAUGACGAGGACCGUGCGUACACCUACUGGGUGCCGGCUUGUGCUGUGCGCCCUGGGGAGGAGAAACGUCGAGCCUGACCCCCAGGAGCUCCUGUUCUCCCCAGGGAGAGGACAGUAAACCGAUGAGAAUGACCCUAAGAGUCACUGUAAGAUUUGGACCCCUCUGGCUGCAGGUGGGCGAUGGCCUCAGGGACUGUGCAGAGGCAGGAGACCAGGGAGGCGGUGACUGCGAUAGUUCCGGUCGGAGAGGAUGGAGGCAGACCAGGGUGACCACGGAGGCAUUUUACAGACCCAAAAAAAUGCGAAGGGUCUUCCCAGCCGCCAGGCUUACACUGAGAACACUUUCUGGGAUGUUCUUGGGACUGUGACCUGAAUGGGGACCACGGAUCCUGGGCAAAAUCAUGCAAUGACUUUCCUCUUCCUAGGAGCAGGUGGGAAUAACAG
rnacentral:lncRNA from 1 species